rnacentral:rRNA from 1 species
CCUACGGGGGGCAGCAGUGAGGAAUAUUGGUCAAUGGACGAGAGUCUGAACCAGCCAAGUAGCGUGAAGGAUGACUGCUCUAUGGGUUGUAAACUUCUUUUAUAUGGGAAGACAACAGGGUAUGCAUACCCCCUUGUAUGUACCAUAUGAAUAAGGAUCGGCUAACUCCGUGCCAGCAGCCGCGGUAAUACGGAGGAUCCGAGCGUUAUCCGGAUUUAUUUGGUUUAAAGGGAGCGUAGGUGGAUUGUUAAGUCAGUUGUGAAAGUUGACGGCUCAACCGUAAAAUUGCAGUUGAAACUGGCAGUCUUGAGUACAGUAGAGGUGGGCGGAAUUCGUGGUGUAGCGGUGAAAUGCGUAGAUAUCACGAAGAACUCCGAUUGCGAAGGCAGCUCACUGGACUGCAACUGACGCUGAUGCUCGAAAGUGUGGGUAUCAAACAGGAUUAGAUACCCGAGUAGUC